AGUUAUCUACCUAUACUUAUACUUUAAAUCAAUGUAUUCUUUAUUAAUUUGCCAAAUUCUUAUAAGAUAAAAACAUAAGUUAAAACUAAUUUUCACCCUAGAAUGCUCGCUCCUGAUUGGUCGAGAGCGCUUUUCUGCUCGCUCAUGUAGUUACUUCGCCAGUCUUGCAGCGGAACGCGGCUCCGUCGUGCACAUAAUUUUCAAUCUUAGAAUGCUCGCUCCUGAUUGGUCGAGAGCGCCUUUCUGCUCGCUCCUGUAGCUAUUUCACCGGUCUUGCAUCGGAGCGCGGUUCGUCGUGCACAAUUAUUGUAUGUGU